GAGGGAGGCGCUUUGGCUGAAAGGCUUUGGAGCAUCCCUGGUCGGGAAGCCAGUGUGGAGGCCGGGCUCAGGCGUGUCCGGCGCCACGAAGGAGCCCUCAGCCUCACUGACCUCGCCGCCCGGGCCCCAGGGAGAGUCGUACCAGGAGGACUCGGAGCUGAGCGAGCUGCCCUUGCUGGAGCGGGGGCGCGCGGCGGCUGCCGGGGAGGCGCGGGGGCUGGGCGCGGAACCGGCCGAGUAGCGCAGCAGCUGCACUGGGCCGCCCGAUGGGGAGGCCCCCGGGGGCGCGGCGCCGCUGUGGAACUCUACCCGCAGGCACCCGUCCAGCUUGCCCAGCGUCUUGAUGAGCACCCGGGGGCUCUUGCGGUCCUCGCCAGGCGGGGUGGAUGCGAUGCUCUCGUUCCCGCCGUAGCAGUUGAGAAGGUGCCCAUUGCGGCAGUCCCUCGAAGCCGAGUGGUUCUCCUCGGGCGGGCGUCCGACAUAGAAAUCUGACCCUGUGGCACCUGUCCUAUGCUUGGCGUAGGCACUGCCUUUGGAGGCUUUGCACGUGGGGCCCCCUGGUCGGGAUGCGUAAGGCUGAUUGCUCUUAAAGUGAGAAAGGCAGCUUCGGCCAACGACCUGGACUUGUACCCCGCUCCGCUGCUUCCAUGACCCCAUCCGUGCAAUGACUUGUCAUCCUUGGCAUGAAGGCCACGGAUUUUCAGGGAGCAAGGCUUUUGUUUAGCACCAGUAAUAGUAUUGCUAUGAUUUUUAGGUCCUUGUAGGGUGUACUGACUCUCGGAGUUUCCCAUCGUCACCUGAAUUAAGAACAGCAGUGUCAGUAAGAGUCAUGACCUAAACUACAUUCCACUAGGACAGAACUUUCUACAAGCUAUGUUCAGGUGACAGAGGAACCAAGCAACCUCUUUCUGGGCCUGACACAACUCAGACACGUAGGGACAAGCGUGACUUGCGGAAUUGGUUCUCCUUCUGCAUUGCAGGUCAUCAGCCAAGUAGACAGCACUGCACAUUCCUGUGCUAGCGAGUUUAAGCACAUUAUCUGUUGUCUGAUGUUAAUUCAGAAACCGAACAGGCAUAGCAAUCAGCUUAAGACAGAGACCUCCUAUAGGCUGGGUGUUGGGAGGUUUUGAAAUCAAUGAUUCUAAAGAGCAAAAUGAGAAAAUCCCUUUACUCUGUCACUGCAAUACACUGAUUUUUCAGUGACCACAGAGACACCUUUCCUUUAUACAUGAAGGACUGAAAGAGCUCAUAUUGCACCCCAAUAUAAGUGGUUACUGCUGAAAAAUGACCAUGUUUGUGGUAAUAUGACUCCGGGUACUGCACUGUGUUGGAGCUUUCAUAUGUCACACAGAAUAGCAUACCUCAAAGGAUAAAGACUAAAUGUUCUCAAAAACUAGGCUGAGGUGAAAAACAGAGGGAGAAAAUAAAAGCUCUCCUUUGGAACAGAACAACAUUUUAAUGAAACUAAUCUCUCGUGCUUUUCUAAAGACUUUAAGGGUCCUCACUUUAGAAACUGAUAAAAGUCUGAAGCUGACUUGUUAGAAUGUGAGCAUCCUAGAAAGAAAUAUUUAAAUUUUUUUAAUUAAAAAAAAAAAAGAAUGUGAGCAUCCAAAAAAAAAAAACAUACCCAAACUUAGAUUCUAUUGAUUUCCUUUAAAACUCCAAUUUGUUUAGAGAGUCUGUUAGUUAAGCAAAAUUCCAGGGGACGAUCCAAACCACCCCACCUCCUCAGUUUUUUUUUAUUCUAACCAAUAUAUCAGUGUUUGAGGCAAGUCAGAAACGAUGCUUCCAGUUACGUUUCUAAUAUAUGAGGUUAGGUUUAGUCAAUCAGUUGUGUCCGACUCUUGCGACCCCAUGGACUGUAUGUAGCCCGCCAGCCUCCUCUGUCCAUGGGAUUCUCCAGGCAAGAAUACUGGAGUGGGUUACCUACUUCUAAUACAUGAAGUUGGUUUUUAAUUUCCAUUCUUUUAUAUGUAAGAAUGUACAGCCACAGAAGUCAAAAGGGCUGACAUUUCUUUGGAGGCAAUGAUCAAGCUCAGUUUAAAACACAAAUAAUGGGAACAAAUAAUUAAACCCUUACUAACACAGCCGUGGCACUGGACAGGAACCACAGCUCCACGGGCCGGACUCACCUGCAGUCUGGUUUGUGCACUGAGGAGAUUAAUGGUCAGUCGACUUGACAGGGUCCCAGGAGCAAGGCAGCGUGGUUAGGAAGUCCAGGCAGUGGAUCCAUGAAAGGAUCCUGAAAAACAAGAAACAGGAGAAAACUCUGUCAAGCACUUUACACCCGGUCCCCCCAAAAGUCAAAAGGAAGGCUUGCC
ensembl:lncRNA